AUGUUCCGAUUUAUCAGUGCUUGGCUACAGGUGGUGCUCCGGUAUAUCGCCGCAUGGCUUCAGGCGGCGGCGGCCGCGGCGGCGGCAGCGGCGGAUAAACUGGAUGCUGCGUCGCUCUCGCUUCAGGGGACGGCGGCCAUGGAUUUUCCUGCUACUGUUUCGCUUGGCCCCCUCCACCGGCAGCUCCAUUCAUUCAGGGCUGCCACGAACAAUCUCCCCGACGGGGUUAGCGAUGGCGAGGUCCGGCGCCUCGAAGAAGAUCUGGAGACACUGUUCACCGAGCUCAAGAUCGUGUCGGAGGCGGACGACCCCAGCUUCACGGCCAGGUGCUGGAUGAAGGAGGUGCGGGAGCUCCGCUACGACGCAGAGGACUUCUUCAACGAGGUCCCGCGCUCCUCCGCCGGCGCCGGCAGAAGCGCUCUUCACACCCUCAUUCUUUCGAUCCCCAGAAAACUGAAGCUUCGGCGCCAGGUUGCAGAAGCUUUCUCAGAUCUGUGUGCUCGUGCCAAGGAUGCGAGUCAAAGACGCCAAAGUUUCCAGCUUGGACCAGCAACCAUCAGACCUGAAUCUGGACAAGUCAAUGUCAGCCGCUCCAAGAGCCUCGGACUUAUUGGCCUUGAGGAGUCCAUGGAUAAGCUUGUCAAACUGAUGGCUUUAGACGACCAAGAGAUUGCAGAGCUGCUGGCUUUUGACAGUGAAGAUACAGAGCAACUAGUUCAGGUGGUACCUAUCUUUGGAUCUGCAGGUGUUGGCAAAACAACACUUGCCAGAACCUUCUACCGUAACUUCGGGGGGAAAUUCCAGUGCCGGGCUUUCGUGCGGGUGUCUCGAAAUCCAGAUAUGAGGAGGAUGCUUUCCAGCAUGCUCUCACAAAUUAAGGCACCGCCGGUUCAUGGCUUUCCUGAUGUGCAGGACCUUAUUGACCAUAUCAGAGGAUAUCUGCAAUGCAAAAGAUACUUGAUUGUAAUUGAUGACUUAUGGGCCUCCUCGACAUGGGAUAUUAUUAGCCGUGCUUUCCCUGAUGGUGAUUGUUGCUGCAGAAUAAUAGUAACCACGGAAAUCAAGGAUGUAGCAUUGGCAUGCAGUAGGUAUCAGUUUAAGUACAUGUAUGAGAUGAGUCCUCUUAACGGUGAUCAGUCAAGACAGUUAUUCCUCGGUAGAGUUUUUGGGUCUGAAAAUGGUUGUCCUCCAGAUUUCAAAGAAGUUACAUAUGAGAUUAUCCGAAAAUGUGGAGGUUUACCAUUAGCAACUGAAAAUAUAGCCAGCAUGUUAGCAUGUGAAUUAAACAUUGAUCAAUGGAAGCACAUACGAGAUUCUUUACCCUCUGUUUUGAGAUUGAGGACAGACCCUAGUUCGGAAGGGUUGAAAGAAGUUCUGAACAUUAUUUAUGAUAAUCUUUCACCAUAUUUGAAGACAUGCUUGCUAUAUCUUAUUAUGUAUCCAGAGGGAAGCACUAUCAGCAAGGACGAAUUAGUGACGCAAUGGAUAACUGAAGAUUUUAUCGGCGAAGGGCAAGACAGGGAGAAAAUUGCACGGCAUUAUUUUGAUGAGCUUGUGAGUAGAGGAAUGAUCCAACCUCUUGACAGAAAUUAUAACGAUGAGGUGUUGACAUGUACAGUUCACCACAUGGUACUAGAUCUUAUUAGGUACAAAUCUCUGGAGGAGAAUUUCAUCAUUAUUGUGAGUUGUUUUCAAACAAUUACAGGUCUUCCUGACAAGGUUCGUCGACUGUCUGUCCAGUUCGGUGGUGCAAAAUGUGCUAAUAUACCGGCAGACUUUAUGAUGACUCAAGUUAGAUCGCUUAUAUUUUUUGGCUUCUUGAACUGUGUGCCUUCCUUUGUGGAAUAUAAGCUGCUUCGAGUUCUGAUUCUUCAUAUCUGGGCUGAUCAAAGCAAAAUAUUUGACCUCACUAGAAUUAGCAAACUGUUUCAGCUGAGGUAUCUGAAAAUUGAUUGCAACAUCACUGUCCAUUUGCCAGACGAGAUUCAGCAGCUACGAUUCUUGGAGACAUUGGAAUUGCAUGCACCAGUAAGUGAUAUGCCAUCGGAUAUUAGUUGCUUGCCCUUACUUCACACGCUGGGCUAUUUUGAUCUCGGCAAGAACUCAAUAGAGAAUGUACAGAGCCUUGGCGAGCUGAACAAUCUCCAAGACCUUCAUCUCACCUGGUCUAACAUAUCAGACCCUGACAAUCUGAAGAACAAUAUGCAAUGCCUGGGCUCAAUUCUCCGGAAACUCGGCAACCUCAAGUCUUUAACUUUAGUACGUGCAGCCUCCUCUCAUGCAGAUGUAACUCUAAUACGUGCAGCCUCCUCUCAUCCAGAUGUUUUAGACGAUGCUGGUGGUGCAAUCUUGGGUAUUUCUGGCGAUGUCUUGAGCAGCGUGUCCUCUCCCCCGCCCCUUCUUCAGAGGCUUGAGCUGUCAGGGCGCUGUUGCAUCUUUGCCAGCCUACCUGAGUGGACCAAAGAACUUGGCAAUCUCUGCAUUUUGAAGAUUUCAGUUAGGAAGUUGUUGAGGAAAGAUAUUGAUAUCCUCAAAGGAUUGCCAGCUCUCAUGGCUCUCUCGCUGUACGUUUGGACUGCCCCUGUAGGAAAGGUCGUCUUUGAUAGUGAGGGGUUCUCAAUUCUCAAAUACUUCAAGUUUACAUGUGCUGCCCCAUGCCUGGCAUUUCUGAUAGGAUCAAUGCCUAGCGUCCGGGAGCUUAAGCUAGCAUUCAAUGCUAAUAGAAUGGAGCAAUACAGCCAGAUAGUUGCUGGCUUAGAGUACCUGAUAGAACUUAAAGAGAUAACUGCAAAAGUUGGGGGCACUGGUGCGGAUGAAUCUGAUAAAAGGUACGCGGAGUCGGCAUUGAGGGGCGCCAUUGCCAAUCAUCCAUGCGCUCCUAUAAUCACAGUACAAUGUGUAGAUCGGAUUUUGUAUGGUGAGGACGAUAUGAGUGCCGUCACACAAGAACAAGAACACUGGACUCUGGAAGAAGAACAUGAGAUACAAGAGGAAUCACUUGAUCCUCUUCCUGAACUUAUUCCCAUUCCAAGCACACAAACACAAAUGAGAGAUGGAAGCCAGAAUGGUGGAACAGAUAGCUCAAGGGAGGUGCUGACACAAACAAGAGAGGAAGUUCAGGAUGAAUUAAUAGAAAGAUCGAUGGAGGUCCUGACACAUGAACGGGAACACUUAACUCUGGAAAGACAACACGAGAUUCAUGAGGAAUUGCUUGAUCCUCUUCCUGAAGUUGUUUCCACUUCAAGCACACAGACACAAGUGAGAGAGGAAGUGCGGGAUGGAGAAAUAGGGAGAUCGAUGGAGGUGCUGACACAAGAGCAAGAACAGUGUAUCGUGGAACAACAAGAUGAAAUGACAGACGGAGUGCUGGAUGUACAAAUAGGGACAUUGAUGGAGGUGUUAGCACAAGAAGAGCAAUGGCGGAAUAAUAUGCAGAAUAGUGGAAUCGGGAGAUCGAUGGCGGUGGUGAGCGCUUCCCAUGGCACCUUGGAUCCCCUACUGGACAAGCUCAAUGCUUUGCUCAGCGAGGAGUAUGGCAACUUGGAAGGUGUCCUCCAUGAAGUCAGUGCCCUCAAAUCUGAGCUGACAUUAAUGCAUACGGCGGUAAGAAAGUACACGAUGCUAGAAGAUCCAGAUGUCCAGGUGAAGUUAUGGCUAUCGUUGCUGAGGGAGUUUUCCUAUGAUGCAGAGGAUUACAUUGAUAAGUUCAUUCACCAGCUCGACAAUGGCGGACAUCAUGGCGGAUUCAAGCAGAUCUUCGGCAAGACUGCUUGCCAGCUGAAGACGCUUGGAUCUCAGCAUGAAAUUGCAGAAAAAAUCGAUGAGCUGAAAGAUCGUGCCAAGAACUUGAAAGCGAGUAGUUACAAGAUGGAUGAUACUGCUUGCAUCACAUCUUGCCAUUCCACCGUGGAUCCCCAGUUGGCUGCUCUUUUUGUUGAUUCUGCACACCUUGUGGGCAUUGACAGUCCAAGAGAUGAUCUUGCCAAGUGGACGGUCGAAGUAGGAAACAGCUCGGCCAAGCAUCAUUGCAGGAUGUUAUCUAUUGUUGGGUUUGGUGGAUUGGGAAAGACAACACUAGCGAAUGAGGUGUAUCGCAAGGCUAAAGGGCAUUUCCAUUGUCAGGCUUUUGUAUCAGUCUCACAAAAGCCAGAUAUAAAGAAAAUUCUCAUGAACUUGAUCUCCCAAGUGUCUCCCCAUGGAUUCACGAAAGAUACUUACAAUUGGGACAAAAUGAGAUUCAUUAGAGAGCUAAGAAAACUGCUAAAGGAUAAGAGGUAUCUUGUUGUCAUUGAUGAUAUAUGGUCCAUAUCGGCAUGGAACAUUAUCAAGUGUGCUUUUCCAGAGAAUAACUGUUCUAGCAGAGUUAUAACUACUACACGCAUUAUUGAAGUUGCAAGGUCAUGUUGUAUGGGUCAAGAUGACCGCAUGUAUGAAAUGCAACCCUUAAGUGAUUUUCAUUCUAAAAGAUUGUUCUUGAGAAGAAUUUUUGGGUCCAAGGAUAGUCCCGAUAUGCUGAAAGAAGUUUCAAAUGAAAUUUUGAAAAAAUGUGGAGGCCUGCCGUUGGCAAUUAUCAGUGUAUCUAGUUUAUUGGCAAAUAGGCCAGCUAACAAAGAGGAGUGGGAAAAAGUUUGUGCAUUGGACAAAGACAUAGGUCUAGAGGAAAUGAACAGAAUACUAUGCCUUAGCUACAAUGCUCUUCCAGAUAAUCUCAAGACUUGUUUGUUGUAUUUAAGUAAUUUUCCUGAGGGCUGUGUGAUUGAGAGAGAGAGAUUAGUGAGGCGGUGGAUAGCAGAAGGCUUUAUCUCUGAAAAUCAUGGGCAGAGUCAGCAAGAGGUCGCAGAGUGGUAUUUCUAUGAGUUUAUCAAUAGAAGUAUGAUUCAAGCAGUGGACAUCCGCUAUGAUGGUAAGGCUCGUGCAUGUCGAGUCCAUAACAUGAUGCUUGAACUCAUCAUUUCAAAGUCAGCUGAGGAUAAUUUUGUCAUGGUGAUUCGUAGCAGGCAGACUGGUUUGGUAAAUCGCCAUGGUUGUAUUCGACGGCUAUCAGUCCAGCACAUUGACCAGAAUCUUGCAUCUGUAUUGGCAAAUGAAGAUCUAAGCCAUGUUCGCUCUUUAACAGUAACAUCAUCAAGUUGCAUCGAACACUUGCCUAGUCUUGCUUGCUUUGAAAAUUUGCGUGUACUAGAUUUUGAAGGGUGUGAUGGAUUGGAAAAGUAUCACAUGAAGGGUCUUGGCAAGUUUUUCCAACUAAAGUACCUGAGCCUUAGGGGCACUUGGAUAUCACAUCUACCAUCAGAAGUUGUGAUGUUACAUAAUCUAGAGACCCUAGAUAUUAGGGAGACACAUGUAGAAGAGUUGCCUGCUGAAAUUGUCCACCUUACGAAGCUACAACAUCUUAUCGCUUCAACAGAUUAUGUAAUGCCUGGAAUAAAGAUACCAGAUGGAAUCGGGAAUAUGAGGAACUUACAGGUAUUGUUGGGCUGUGGUAUCAGCUCGGGUUCUGUUGGUGCACUAGAGGAACUCGGUAACUUGACCAAUUUGAAUGAGCUCGAUGUACAGUAUUGGGGAAUAGGAUCCGAGUACAAGUGGCAUGAAGACAGGUUCCUCUCCUCAUUAAUCAAGCUUGGUAGCUGCAAGCUACAGUCUUUUAGGAUAUGGAGGAAGUGCCCUGGUGAUGUCAAGUUCUUAGAAUCAUGGUUCCCUCUGCCAUUUUCCCUCCAAAGAUUUGAGAUGAGCGGCUGCUACAGUUUCAAGUGGAUUCCAUGCUGGAUUUCACCAGCACUGACCAGUCUUGCAUACCUAGAAAUUAAUAUAGUGGAAGUAACGCAGACGGAUCUGUGCAUACUUGGAGAGAUGCCUGCCUUGCUUCACCUGAGGCUAACAUGCCGGACUUUCAGAAAAGAAAGGCUUAUUUUUUACGGCAGAGGAUUCCAGCAUUUGAAGGAAUUUGUUUACGAUGCUGCUGUAUUGCCAUCGGGAAACCUUCUGUUUAUGGAAGGGGCACUGCCAAUGCUCGAGGAUCUUAGCCUAAUCUACUGUGUAUCAAUGGUUAAUGCUUAUGGGUUUUUCUUGGGUAUCGAGCACCUCCCAAGACUGAAAAAUGCACAAAUUCACCUCUACAAACAGGGCGCGGCAUCUUCUGAUAUCGCUUCCGCAGAAGUUACUAUCAGGAAUGAAGCAGAUGACAAUCCCAACUGUCCCAGAGUAACUCUGGUAGAACAUGUAAAGAGGGAGGAUUAUUGCUCUGACGGCUGUCCUAACAGAACCGUGACAGAUCAAGGACUAGAUGCCAAUACAACUAACCAGAAGGGUGGAUCUCGAAAGGCAACAAAUCAAACUUCAAAUCGUUGA
rnacentral:rRNA from 1 species